rnacentral:rRNA from 1 species
UACGAAGGGGGCUAGCGUUGUUCGGAAUUACUGGGCGUAAAAGGCGCGUAGGCGGCGUGUCAAGUCAGGCGUGAAAGCCCCGGGCUCAACCUGGGAAUGGCAGUGGAAACUAGGGGACUGGAAUCUGGCAGAGGGGGGUGGAAUGCCGCGUGUAGCAGUGAAAUGCGUAGAGAUGUGGAGGAAUACCGAUGGCGAAGGCAGCCCCCUGGGAUAACACUGACGCUCAUGCACGAAAGCGUGGGGAGCAAACAGG